UGGGGAAUCUUGCACAAUGGGGGAAACCCUGAUGCAGCGACGCCGCGUGAACGAUGAAGCCCUUCGGGGUGUAAAGUUCUUUCGACAGGAACGAUAAUGACGGUACCUGGAGAAGAAGCUGCGGCUAACUACGUGCCAGCAGCCGCGGUAAUACGUAGGCAGCGAGCGUUGUUCGGAGUUACUGGGCGUAAAGAUUGCGUAGGCGGCGAGCCAAGUUUGGUGUGAAAUCUCCCGGCUUAACCGGGAGGGUGCGCCGAAAACUGGUUGGCUGGAGUAUGGGAGAGGAAAGCGGAAUUCCUGGUGUAGCGGUGAAAUGCGUAGAUAUCAGGAGGAACACCUGCGGUGUAGACAGCUUUCUGGACCAAAACUGACGCUGAGGCACGAAAGCGUGGGUAGCAAACA
rnacentral:rRNA from 1 species